AAUGAUACUGGAAGACAUGAGUGAAUGAUAGCCACUCCAUGGCCAAGCGUGGAAUCAGAGAAACCUACUGAAGCUCAGGGUCACUGAGCAAUGGGGAUGAGAUACACCCUUUUCCAUCUGCAUUAGGUAGGGCCAUUGUGCUGCCCAGAUAGCAAAAUAUUGGAAGAGUGAGCAGCAUUAAGUUUUCCAGCCAAAUCUGCUCUGCCUACCAUCUCUGGACUAUUCAUAAUAACCAAGUUGUGAUAAAAACCCCAAAAUGUCCAUCAACAUAUGAAUGGAUAAAGGAAAUGUGGGAUGUACAAACAAUGGACUAUUAUUCAGCCUUGAAGAAGAUAUGUGACAGCGUGGAUGAACCCGGAGACCAUUAUGUUAAGUGAAGGUCUUCACAUUUGCAAAAUCCAGGAAGCAUACAUUUAGAAAUUCCAGGAGAAUGGAACAAAAAACGCUUUAUGAGAAGGAGACAUGAUCUCAUAGAAGAGGGACGUUUAUUUAUCCCAGCCCUGGAGAAGUUCAUUCUAAGAGCGUAACUUCAAAGCCCAUGCGAUAGACACCUGUGAGAGCACUGGAUAAAUCAGAGAGGAGAAAGAACUAAAGAGCAGUCUCAGGUUUUCGUUAUAUGGAGUGCUAAUCUUCAGAGAAGGUCAAAUUCACAAUCCAUGAGGAGAAACUCACCAGACCAAGACCCCAAAUUGGGGGAAAGAGGACUUUGGGACUUUGGAUGGGGACAUCUGAGUUGAUAUACUCAGAAUUGUUUUUUUAAUCUCUAAAAUUUCAUGGACCCUCUGAGCCUGCAGAAGUGGCCAACUCUGCUCUGUAGUAGACCUGAGGCUCGAGGUGUUGGAGCCUGGACUAGGAUGGUUAUAGUAAGACUAGAAACAAAGAAAAGAAUGUGAAAGACACUGGGAGAAAUGGGAUUUGUGUUCCAGUGGUGAGUAAUGUUCCAGUGGUUACUGGGGUAAGAGGAAAUUUAAUACACUGACAAAUAAGAUAAAUAAAUAUAGUUUGUCUUGUACAGAUUAGGUAUAGUCUUACAUGUCCUCAAGAUAGAAUGCAUUUUUCUCUUUCCUAUUAUGUUUUCCAAUUUCCAUUUUCAGUUUUAUUUCAUGAAAUAAUAAUAACAGCUCUCACAAUAGUAAUUAAACUAAUAAAUAAAAUUGGGCAUUAGUGCAUGAGAAUAAAGAAUAUACAUUAUAAAUAAUGAUAGUUUAUUUAUGAUAUUGUCUCUACUCACGCUUUCUAUUCUCCCAAAAAAGUGCUUGGGGAUCUCAAAAAUCUACCAAACAAAUACACUCUCACACAUAGAGCAGAUAGAGUUAUAUAUGUAUAUUUUACCACGAGUAAGAAAUCUUUUAAAUGACAGUUCAUAAAAAAUGGUAAUCUUAGAGUAAAAUUCACAAGAGAUGGUGGA